AUUGAACGCUGGCGGAAUGCUUUACACAUGCAAGUCGAACGGCAGCACGGACUUCGGUCUGGUGGCGAGUGGCGAACGGGUGAGUAAUGUAUCGGAACGUGCCCAGUCGUGGGGGAUAACGUAGUGAAAAUUACGCUAAUACCGCAUACGAUCUAUGGAUGAAAGCGGGGGAUCGCAAGACCUCGCGCGAUUGGAGCGGCCGAUAUCAGAUUAGGUAGUUGGUGGGGUAAAGGCCCACCAAGCCAACGAUCUGUAGCUGGCCUGAGAGGACGACCAGCCACACUGGAACUGAGACACGGUCCAGACUCCUACGGGAGGCAGCAGAGGGGAAUUUUGGACAAUGGGCGAAAGCCUGAUCCAGCCAUUCCGCGUGCAGGAUGAAGGCCCUCGGGUUGUAAACUGCUUUUGUACAGAACGAAAAGGUUUCUACUAAUACUAGGAGCUCAUGACGGUACUGUAAGAAUAAGCACCGGCUAACUACGUGCCAGCAGCCGCUGUAA
rnacentral:rRNA from 1 species